ACAUACGACCAUAGGACGAUGAGAACAGAGCUUCCCGUUCGCUCAGCUGUACUUAAGCAUUGUACCGGCAGAUUAGUAGUUAGGUGGGAGACCACUAGCGAAUACCUGCUGUUGUAUGUUU
rnacentral:rRNA from 1 species